CCUCCGUCCAAAAAAUAUAAACCGUGUCUAACGUUUGACCGUCUGUAUUAUUUGAAAAAAUUAUGAAAAAAAUAAAAAGACAAAUCACGUAUAAAAUAUUAAUCAUGUUUUAUCAUCUAACAAUAAUAAAAAUACAAAUUAUAAAAAAAUUUCAUAUAAGACGGACAAUAAAAAUUGGACACGGAAACCCAGGGUUUGUCUUUUU
rfam:Oryza nivara chromosome 9, whole genome shotgun sequence.